UGCGCAGGCGGAAGAUUAGGUCGGAUGUGAAAACCCCGGGCUUAACCCGGGGCCUGCAUUCGAAACCAACCUUCUUGAGUAUCGGAGAGGAAAGCGGAACUCCAGGUGUAGCGGUGAAAUGCGUAGAUAUCUGGAGGAAUACCGGUGGCGAAGGCGGCUUUCUGGACGAAUACUGACGCUCAUGCACGAAGGCUAGGGGAGCAAACA
rnacentral:rRNA from 1 species